ACACUGAUCUAUUAGCCUUAUCAGCAAAUGCGUUAUGAAUAAUACCAUUUUAUAAGUCCUCUUUGAUUCAAAAUAAGUACUGGUCUUUUUUGUACUUGUCUCGUUGACUUUUUGUCAUCAUCCCAUGUAGAUGUUUGCAGGUUGAGGAGUAAAUGGCCAAGAAAAGAGCAUGUCAGAAAGAAGAGCCAGACUUCGUCCUGAGGCUGAGGCUACUCAGUUUGUUUUAUCUGGAGGUGACAAGCCUUGUUUAAAGGUCCAGUGGAUCAAUGACUAUAAAGGACGUGGUGUAUUUGCCUGUGCACCAAUUGAAAAGGGAUCCUUUGUGGUCGAGUACCGUGGGGAGUUGAUCUCACCAUGUGAACGGGACAAGCGGCAGAAAAAGUACACAGAGAAGCAAAAUGCUUUCCUGUUUGAUUUUAAAUGGAACAAUAGCUCAUGGUGCAUUGAUGCUUCCCGUGAAGACGACUCACUGGGCCGGCUGGUUAAUGAUGGCCACAAGUCCUCAAACUGCAAAGUGAAAAAAAUGACAGUCCAGGGUAAACCUCAUCUUUGCUUGUUUGCUAUUGAAGAAAUCCAAGCAGAGAGUGAAAUAACCUAUGACUAUGGAAAAUCUCAGUGGCCAUGGCGAGCUCUGACACCAAGUGUUCAGAUCCUGACUCAAUCUUCUGUAGACGAAGAAGUGAGCGAGAGAUCCACUUCAUCCUUCCAACAGACACCAAGUGUUCAGAUCCUGACUCAAUCUUCUGUAGACGAAGAAGUGAGCGAGAGAUCCACUUCAUCCUUCCAACAGACACCAAGUGUUCAGAUCCUGACUCAAUCUUCUGUAGACGAAGAAGUGAGCGAGAGAUCCACUUCAUCCUUCCAACAGACACCAAGUGUUCAGAUCCUGACUCAAUCUUCUGUAGACGAAGAAGUGAGCGAGAGAUCCACUUCAUCCUUCCAACAGGUAAUUACACAUUAGUUUAUUCUAUUUGGAAUUAAGUAUAUGUCUCAGUUGGCUCCAGUGCAUACAUGAAAUGCCCUUUCACUGCAUUAAAACAAUCAGUUUGUGUGAAAUGUUCACAAUAUCAAUGUUAGCAUUACUUGUUUUUGAAUAGUUUAGCAGAAAGAAAUUGGCUAUAUCUUUUGUUAGCUCUAACUUCUCCUUAAAGCAAUAAAUUGAUCUUUAUUCUCACUAAAUGUUAUAUAUUUUUUAUCAUUUUGCUAAUGUUCUUGUCCAUUUUACAUCUGCUGAUCAGUUUACAUGAUUGGAUUUCUGGGGAAGUAGAUCAGUGCACAUCAGUGUGGGGUUUAGAGCUUUCUUUGACAACAACAGAAGAAGUUAGAAGUCAGGAACAUGGACUUUACAUGUGUUCAGUCGUCAUGUCCUCAUAUUGUUUUAGGCUAUGAAAGACCUGAGUGUGUUUCAGGUGAUGUCCUCAUAUUGUCUGACCCAUCAACUGUAGAGUGUGUGUUACAUGUCCUCAUAUUGUUGGGUAGCAGAUGCUGUACAGUGUUAGCAGUUUCUAUAGAGUUUGGCAUAAUGAGCCUAGAUCCUCCUGUGAAUUAUGUUCACUGAAACAAGUAUGAUCAUGUGUUCAUUAAUUAGUCAGGAUUUAUAGUACAGAAUAUGUCUGACUCUAUAUUGUGUUUUGUUGCAGACACCAAGUGUUCAGAUCCUGACUCAAUCUUCUGUAGACGAAGAAGUGAGCGAGAGAUCCACUUCAUCCUUCCAACAGACACCAAGUGUUCAGAUCCUGACUCAAUCUUCUGUAGACGAAGAAGUGAGCGAGAGAUCCACUUCAUCCUUCCAACAGGUAAUUACACAUUAGUUUAUUCUAUUUGGAAUUAAGUAUAUGUCUCAGUUGGCUCCAGUGCAAACAUGAAAUGCCCUUUCACUGUAU